rnacentral:tRNA from 4 species
UCCCCUGUAGCUCAAUUGGCAGAGCAUCUGACUGUUAAUCAGAGGGUUCCUGGUUCGAGUCCAGGCGGGGGAGCCA